rnacentral:lncRNA from 10 species
CGGGAAGGGAGCGAGGGAAGAGCGGCAGUGAGACCGGGGAGACAAGGGACUUGAAGACUAGGAGGGAAGAAACAGCGAGGAAGUCCCUGCCUUACUGGAUGGACCAAUGUACAUCUUACAAAUAUUGAUUGAUAUGUCAUGCCUUCCUAAAAUGUAUAAAAGCAAGCUGUACCCCCAACCACCUUGGGCACCUGUCAUCCAGACUUCCUGAGUCACGAGUGCAUCCUUAACCUUGGCAAAAUAAAUUUUCUAAAU